GCCUUUGGCACCACAAUAGCUCAGUUGGUUAGAGUGUGGUGCUGAUGAUGUCAAGGUUGCAGGUUCAGUCCCCAUAUGGGACA
rnacentral:tRNA from 1 species